rnacentral:lncRNA from 1 species
AAAAACGUGUUUCGGAUGAAUACGAAUCGCGCUCGCCGAAGAGUACGUGGCACAGCCGAUACGAAUGGCUCGAAGUAAAGGCCAGGGAUUAUUGCAUCUGCUCCUUUUACGGUUACAUUUUCUCGCAUUUUCUGGGUUCCAAAUGAAAUGAGCGUGUGUGCAGACCGUCUGAACGAAUGGACGAAGGGCGAAUUGUGCUAAAGGAAUGGCUGGGGAGAACGCCGAGCAAAGGGAACUUAACGCUCUUCCACUCGCGUGCAUUUUCCCAUCAGGAGCCACUGGGAAUUAUGUAAUAAAUGUAACAAAACUGCGUACGUGAUGUAAAUAUAUUUAUUUAUUUAUCAAGCUGUACGUGAACAUGGAUACAUAUAAAUCUGUCUUUACACAAUUCUAACGUUACACAAAUAUAAGUAACACUAGGUUUUCUCGAGGCUUAAGCAUACAUUGUACGAAGAGUACGCGUCGCCGUUCCUUCUCGCGAAGAUCCUCCGCGAUAUUAGGAGGGGUCGUGCGAGAUGGAGGAAAAUUUGGAAACCCCCGUGCCGCAGGAUCUCGAGACAGUACGUUCAUUAGUCUGACUCGGCUGGAGCUCGACGAAAUACGAGUCCCGCUUGGCUCUUGUAGUAAUAUCACGUCGACGUGCUCGUAUCGCGUAACAUGUUACGUUUCGUCGCGUAAUACGCCCCAGAGUUGCAUUAUGCGCGCGCGCGCGCGAGUCUGCACACAUACACACACGCACGUAUAAUACAUAGGUACAUACAUAUGCGUAUCCUUAUUAUAGUGUACGUUACGGUAGCGCAGCAAUAUGUCGUGAAUCCUAAGGUAAGCGAAUCCUCCACGAUAGAAUCAGGAUGUAAAAGAAGACACGCGUGGCAUCCUUCAAUCCGUUCUUGUCCGCUUGUUAAGAGGCGUACCAUUCGAGGGUGAACUCCCUCGCUUCAUCCGCGUCGUUGCGCGGAUAAUUAAUUCCGCUUCCUUCGCGAGUGAGAAUGUAAUGAGAAAGUUUCUAGUCGCAGUUACUUUUUUGCUCGCAAAUUAGGCAGGCGAGAGCGGAAGAUAAUUCUCGCGGCUUUUUCAGAUGAACGCGUUAGCGAGAACGCGCUGCGCAUUCGCGGAAACAUGAAAAAGCGCUUUUUCGCGCGAUAAUAAAUAAAGGAGCUCGCACGCCCGUCGAGGUUGCGCGAACUCGCAGAACGAUGUAAUUAUGACGCACUCAAAUAUGUAUUUAACCGCGUGUACCUUCGAAACACGCGAGUUCAAAGCUGCGAGAGCGGCCUCUCCGUCCCACGCUUGUCAUUCGAUGCGUCGAAUUUGGGAAAUUCAACACCCGCACGUUUCUCUCUGUUUUCUUCUCUCUCUCUUUCUCUCUCUCGCUCGUUAAAUAGAAGUCUCUCACACUCACAAAAGCGCUCUAGUAGAUUCCGAAACUUCUAACUUUCUCUCUUUCUCUCUUUCUCUCUCUCUCGCUCUCUCGCUUUUUCACUCUCGCCACGUCGAAGUAAUUUUCCGUGAGCAAACGUCGCGUCUUUGGAAGGCUCUGACGCGCGUUAUCUUACGAACGGCGCCUAGGGUGGGCGGUUAAACCCUUACGUGGAUAUCUGGCGGUGGCAGGAUCUCUGUGUCGGCACGGAUAUGGAUUCGAGUACUUCUUACUGCGAUGAUUUCUCGAAGUCGGAUAGCUGCGAUUUCUCCCGAUAAGGCGUGUCGUCAAACUUUUUCCUAAGACCGACCGCACAAAGAUGACGACGACGAUGACGUCGCAUCAGCUGUUGGGAAGAUUAAAUAAAUUCUGUCUCCGGUGUGUACCGCAUAUGGGAGGGCGUACCUCAAUUCUGCCGCUGAGAGUUUCGCUUAUUUCGUAAUAUCUCGCAUGUUUAUCGAGCGAGUGGUUACAGAGUGGAUUCUCCGUACACGAACAAUAUAGGCACUCGCGAUAAUUUGCGAAAAUCAUCAUUCUGUUUCCAAUAACGUCUCGCCGUCUGGAAAAUUGAAACGUGAGACAUUAUCGCCGUAUUAUUGACGUAUCGCCGCGAUUCGUGUAAAGCGCGAAAAAUUCAUUUCGCAAAGCUCCUCUAGGAACGUGAUAUUUUCCGAAUACCAUUUUUCUCUCUCAUAAAGGGGAAGCACCCCUUUGCAAGCGUCUCACGGCGCUCGUGGAUAAGAGAGGAACGAGAGCACCGGCGGGAAAGAUAGCCUGAGAGAGUCAAGUAGGGCAUGUAGCUCCUCGCCGGAAAUUGUUCCGGUCUUCUCGACCUGACCGGCGAAAGCCCGCAAUAAUAUCAAUAAGGCGACGGAUUGUUGUGUCAGGUGGCGUUCUCUCCAAGUGGCGAUCUCUCGCCGACAUUUACCCUGCGCGGGGAAGUGCGCAAACAAAUCAGCGAGAAAACGGAAGAAUCAAUCGCGAAAUUGUUGACCCUCCGCUUGGCUCGGUUGCUGUUGUCGGCUUCCGUUGAUCUAUCAUCCCCUUGCACGUAUCCCUGCGUGGAUAUUCGCAACACCAUCAGUCAAGAGAGAGAGAGAGAGAGAAAGACAGCUUCACUUAAAAUUGAAUAAACAUUAUGACAAGAGCACAUCGACGAUAAAGAACGACGAAGAUGAAGACGCGAAGUGGAUUCGCUUCGAACGAAGAGGAGAGCUCGGCGAAGUCGCGAUGAAUGGUGGCGAAUGGCGACUUUAAUGAGGCGGAAGUGCGAACACGCGAAUUUACCGUGGCGCUGGUCAGGGUCGCCGUGGUGCUUGCCAAAAUAUUCCACGCUCGCGGUAACGAUGCACUCGCGGUGCGCCACGUGGAGAACGGAAAUGGGAUCAUUAUGCCAGAUUGUCGCCGGGGUUGUCGAGCUUUUGCGUACCUGACACGAGUGCGCGCUCGCGCCUGCAAAGUGUCGUACUUCCGCGCUCAAUUGCGCAACUUGCGAUUUGCACGCGAUUUUGAUAGAAUAUCGAUACUUCUGCGCUCGCGGCGUCGGUAUCGCGAGAGUCAGUUAAGGGAGAAAGUUGGCGCAUUAAUAAGUUGUUGAACGCAUCCUCACACAGGAGAGAUGAUUGAUAGAUAUUAUAAUGAGAUAUCGGUGCAAAAGUUCGCGCUAAUCGAUAUUCUACGCGAUAUCGAUACUCCAUAUCGAGUGACUCAUAAUGACUAUCUUUAUUCAUGAGAAAUGUAAGGUGGCUUCCUCCCUCUUUCUCUCUUUUCCUCUUUAUCUCUCAUUCUCUCUCUCUCUCUCUCUCUCUCUCUCUCUCUCGUUCUCUUCCUCUCUCCAGCUUACACUCGGAAGAGAGAACGAUCGAGAGCGCGGAUAUAAUAAAAUUCUACCUAGCCACACGAAAAUUGGACGAGUCUUUUCUCGCGUUAACUCCAGGAUUGUCUGUUUGUCCUCGUUUUCGCAGAGCCGUAAUUACAGUUGCUCGCUCCUGACACAGACACUGUAAAUAAAUAAAUAAAUAAUAGCUCUAAUUCUAACAUAACUGCAGAGAGAAAAGAAUUUUGCAUCAACAACUCGAGAUUGAUCUCGUAAUUCUGUUGUACGCAAUAAAAAUUUCAAGAGAUUGUUUCGAGGAAAAUAUGAAAUCACAAGAGCGAACGAAAGAAGAAAGAAAUGCAAUUCUGUUGCUGCUGAAAUUAUAACGAAUUAUUUAUUAUCGGGCAAUUUGUAAUGGUUCGUUUAAAGGAUAUUACGAGCGGAAAUUUAUACUCGCAAUCCUGCAGCGUGUUUCAACAAAUUACAUUUAAAUCAAUUUUCCAGUGAGAUAAUCAACAAAUUAUAACGAGCGCGGAGCGAUUAUGUCGCUCGGCAAUGUGCGACGUCCGAAAUAAUUCGUGGGACCAGCGAACGCGACGCGCAAUUACGCGCCUCAAAGCGUCCAGAAAUAUUAUAAAUAUACAGCGCGCAAAAAUUGGCACGGCUCUCAACCGCGACCGACUUUAUUCUGGACGAUCUUCAAAAAGAUUGGAUCUCGCAUCAUCCGGCGCGCGUGCGGCACGUGUAAACAAAAUCCCGCAAUCCGGCAUCUUCGGUAUCUUUCCGCGCGACUCACCAUAUAUCCAUCCAUCUGUCUCUUCAUCUAUCUCUCUCUCUUCUCUCUUUCCGUGAAAUUGCACGAGUGAUCCGGGAAAAGCGUAGGAAGCGGCGGCCGAUCAACCGUGCGAAGGCGGACCGCGUUCGGCACGUCAAAAACGACGUUUCGCGUCAUCGCGGGUUACAGAAACGGAAAUCGAGAGAGAAAGAAAAGCAAAGAGCGAUUUCGCGAACGACGCGCGUUUCGGAAGUGAACUCACAGCGAAUUUCGAAGCGGAUUUCAGAGCGGAUUUCGGAGCGGGCCUGGCGAGCGCGAGUGUCGGAGCAGAGCGGAGCCAGGUAGUGCACGCUCUCGGCCCGGUGGCUCCUUCGGUGCGUACGUACGCGUCGUCGUCGUGUGCCGCCGGGGGAAACCAGUCACUCGUAUAAAACCGACGGACUAGUCGCGCCUCGAGUCAGUCUCGGCUCGCGCCUCGCGUGAGUGUUGGCGAUUGCCCGCGUCGCGAGCGAGCGAGCGAGUGAAUGGGAGCGAUAAGGGGAUAAGGAUCGCGGAUUCGCGUUGCUGCUUCCGGAUACUCCCGUGCUGAUCAAUCUGCUAUCGUCACGUCGUGUCUCGACGUGCGUGAAUCGACGCCGUGCUGCAGCAAAUUGCGACGUUUUCGUGUGGGCCCCUGAUACGUGCGACCCUGAUACCGGCCAGUUGGAUGCGUAAUCGGGAGCGUUGAUAAGAGUGUCCCCGCGACCGCGAUCGCGUGUGAUCUCGUUCCGGUCCAAGGUCCCCGUGAACAGACGGGGACCGAAAACGGCGGGACCGGCCGACGGUUUUGCUAUUGUAUCUUGUGCAUCGAUCGGAAUUCAGGCUGGUCCACGGUGGGUCCCGACGAAGGGAUCACCGACUGACGUUUUACAGGCCGGUUUCGUCGGUUUCGUGGCAACAACAACAACAACGUUGGAACCAAGCAGAGGAGCAGCCGGUCGCGCGACGGCGGGUAGAAGAGGUAGAAGAGGAGGACCAGCGAGAGCAGGAGUAAAAGAGGAGGACACGGACGAGCGAGCGAGGAAGACCGGCGGUGAAUUCCGGCUGUGUCGAACAGAAUUACUGGCUACCGAGUAUCUUAAUUGCCAGCGGAGCGAACGGCGCCGCGCGCGAUAAUUUCGUUCGUUAAGGCCUCCCCUUGGAGCCCGCCCUCUCGGAACGAGAAGAACAUCCUUUAAUUCCUGCGGGGAGCGACCUGGAGUGGCGCAUCGCGCCUCGUUUCAUCCCGGGAACAAUACCGUGGUACCACGAGCCUUAAUCACCCCUGAAAACAGUUAAUAUAUACCGCGAGCCGUCUCGGCCCGAGUUCCGAUUGUUCGCACGACAAAGAGUCCCUCCUCUCGAACGGGCCUCGCGGAUCUCUGCCGAUCGCGAGUGCCUAACGAACCGAGAGUAACGUCGACGAUUAUCGGCGAGCUGUCGGUGUCGCGACAAACGAGGUCUCGACAGCGGUGGGUCAUUAAUGCUGGUCUCGCUCGCUCGCGAGACGCAUAAUUAUCCACGAGGUGUCUCGCAUUGUUAAGCGAUAGCGGAGGAAGGUUGCUUCUUUUUCGCACGAGCUUCUGAAAGGAGCAACCGUUACCUCGUGCCGCCUCCUCGCAUACACUGGUGGGCGGUAUUGCGGUCCAUCUGCGAGAUCUUGAUCUGGAUGCUGCUCGUCAGUGGGCUUGCGAACGAGCCUGCGGUCGUUCCUCGUAAUUUGCUACUGAAAGAGGAAGCAAAGGAAAACGAGGAAAGAAAGGGGAACGAAAAGGAAAGUUGCAGCGUACCGUCGCGUCGAAGAUUUCUACAAAGUUGUCCAUAAAGAGGAAAAGUGCCAUCGAUCGCGAACACGUGAACCUGCCGACCACAAGCUCGCAUAAUCCACGUUGCGGCUCGUAACGACGCCACGGACGCCACGAGUACACGUCGUAUCGAUUGUGUCUGCGCUUUUGUCCUAUGUUCUUAUGUUUUUCAUCGUCGCGACAGUGUCGUAACGUCGCCUGUGUCAAAGAGGGAAGAAGCGGGAGGAACCGACGAGCGAGAAAAGAACAAGGCAGCUUUGCCUUCGCGCCGGUGCGAAAGAGCGCUAAAUACCAAGACACCAUCGUCGUGGCGAUGGAGGUUUAUUGAGAAACGUGCGAGAGAGAAAAAAAAA